CGACCAUAUCAUGUUGAAAAUUGGUUCCCAUGUGAUCACCGAAGUUAAGCAACGUCGAACUUUGUCAGUACCUAGAUGGGUGACUGCUUGGGAAUACCAGGUGAUGUA